rnacentral:rRNA from 1 species
UGCGUAGGCGGUUGGGUAAGUCAGAGGUGAAAUUCCGGGGCUCAACCUCGGAACUGCCUUUGAUACUACCUGACUAGAGUACUGGAGAGGAGACUGGAAUUCACGGUGUAGCAGUGAAAUGCGUAGAUAUCGUGAGGAAGACCAGUGGCGAAGGCGAGUCUCUGGACAGUUACUGACGCUGAGGCACGAAGGCUAGGGGAGCAAACG